rnacentral:rRNA from 1 species
GAGGAACGCUGGCGGCGUGCCUAAUACAUGCAAGUCGAGCGAACAGAUGAGGAGCUUGCUCCUCUGACGUUAGCGGCGGACGGGUGAGUAACACGUGGAUAACCUACCUAUAAGACUGGGAUAACUUCGGGAAACCGGAGCUAAUACCGGAUAAUAUAUUGAACCGCAUGGUUCAAUAGUGAAAGACGGUUUUGCUGUCACUUAUAGAUGGAUCCGCGCCGCAUUAGCUAGUUGGUAAGGUAACGGCUUACCAAGGCAACGAUGCGUAGCCGACCUGAGAGGGCGAUCGGCCACACUGGAACUGAGACACGGUCCAGACUCCUACGGGAGGCAGCAGUAGGGAAUCUUCCGCAAUGGGCGAAAGCCUGACGGAGCAACGCCGCGUGAGUGAUGAAGGUCUUCGGAUCGUAAAACUCUGUCAUUAGGGAAGAACAAAUGUGUAAGUAACUAUGCACGUCUUGACGGUACCUAAUCAGAAAGCCACGGCUAACUACGUG